CCUACGGGAGGCAGCAGUGAGGAAUAUUGGUCAAUGGACGCAAGUCUGAACCAGCCAUGCCGCGUGCAGGAAGACGGCUCUAUGAGUUGUAAACUGCUUUUGUACGAGGGUAAACGCCGAUACGCGUAUCUGUCUGAAAGUAUCGUACGAAUAAGGAUCGGCUAACUCCGUGCCAGCCGCCGCGGUAAUACGGAGGAUUCAGGUGUUAUCCGGAUUUAUUGGGUUUAAAGGGUGCGUAGGCGGUCGGAUAAGUUAGAGGUGAAAUCCCGGGGCUCAACCUCUGAGAGCCGGUGAAACUGGUUUUCUUGAGUGAGUGAGAGGUAUGCGGAAUGCGUGGUGUAGCGGUGAAAUGCAUAGAUAUCACGCAGAACUCCGAUUGCGAAGGCAGCAUACCGGCGCUCAACUGACGCUCAUGCACGAAAGUGUGGGUAGCGAACAGGAUUAGAUACCCCAGUAGUC
rnacentral:rRNA from 1 species